AGUGCCUACGGGGGGCAGCAGUGGGGGAUAUUGCACAAUGGGGGGAACCCUGAUGCAGCGACGCCGCGUGGGUGAAGAAGCGCCUCGGCGCGUAAAGCCCUGUCAGCAGGGAAGAAAAUGACGGUACCUGAAGAAGAAGCCCCGGCUAACUACGUGCCAGCAGCCGCGGUAAUACGUAGGGGGCAAGCGUUAUCCGGAUUUACUGGGUGUAAAGGGAGCGCAGGCGGCCUGCCAAGUCUGGUGUGAAAACCCGGGGCCCAACCCCGGGCCUGCAUUGGAAACUGGCGGGCUGGAGUGUCGGAGGG
rnacentral:rRNA from 1 species